UUCGGAAUAGAGAAUUAAAUUAAAAAGAAUGGAAAAUUAAAGAAAGAAAAAAAAAGGAAAAGGACUUCUUACAUCAUUAAGGUUACCUCAACAUGACAUCAUAAUUCAAUUUUUAAUUAAUGAAAAUUUUGACUAAGUCAAUACUAAAAACAAAUUGACAUAAAAAUAACUAAAUUGAAAAAAAAAAUAGAUUUGUCUUCCCCAAGAGCUGGCCAAACCUCUCACCAUUUCCAUCUCCAUAGCUUUCCACCGUUAACAAGUUUUUUAACCUUGAAUAACUUGGUUUUGUCCUAUAAAUUCUAACCCUAAAUCCUCAAAAACUUCUAAUUUACCAUAGACAAGAGGAUUGAAGAUCAAGGACAAGAAGAAAAGAAGGAGAAAUUGAAGAGAGAAAAUACCACAUAAGAGGUUAGUGUUAUAAUCCUUUCUUUCUUAGUUAAAGACAUGUUAGGUAGUGAAAUAAACUUAGGAAUUGACAAAUAAUUGAAACAAAUCAAGUGUGUGGGAUUUAUAGUGGAUUUCGGCCAACUCUUAGAGAUUAGGGUUUGAGUGGAAUUGAUGCAAUUGAAGGGUUAAUGAAGUUGAAUUAAGUGUAUAGAUGUUGAUUAUGUACUUUAAUUUCAUUAAUUGAAUGAAUUGUGUAAAUUAGGGUUCUUGACACUUAAGGUUUAGGAAAAAUUUAGAGAAAAUAUAGUUGAUGUAAUGGAACAUAAUUAACGUUUGAAAUGGUCAUUUGGAGUCAUUUGGCAUGUAUUUGAAUGAGUGAAACUGAAGUGCAAUUCGGAUUAGUGAA
rnacentral:misc_RNA from 1 species